GCCUAGCCCUAAACCUUGGUAAUAUAUCACAUACCCUACCCGCCUGGGAACUACGAGCACCAGCUUGAAACCCAAAGGACUUGGCGGUGCUUUAGACCCCCCUAGAGGAGCCUGUUCUAGAACCGAUAACCCCCGUUCAACCUCACCCUUCCUUGUUUAUCCCGCCUAUAUACCGCCGUCGUCAGCUUACCCUGUGAAGGCCUAAAAGUAAGCACAACUGGCACAACCCAAAACGUCAGGUCGAGGUGUAGCGCAUGGAGGGGGAAGAAAUGGGCUACAUUCCCUAUAUUAGGGAACACGAACGGCGCACUGAAACACGCGCCUGAAGGAGGAUUUAGUAGUAAGCAGAAAAUAGCGUGUUCCGCUGAAAUCGGCCCUGAAGCGCGC
rnacentral:rRNA from 1 species